ACGGGAGGCAGCAGUAGGGAAUUUUCCACAAUGGGCGAAAGCCUGAUGGAGCAACGCCGCGUGCAGGAGGAAGGCCUUCGGGUCGUAAACUGCUUUUAUCUGUGACGAUUUUGACGGUAGCAGAUGAAUAAGGAUCGGCUAACUCCGUGCCAGCAGCCGCGGUCAUACGGAGGAUCCAAGCGUUAUCCGGAAUUACUGGGCGUAAAGAGUUGCGUAGGUGGCAUAGUAAGCAAAUAGUGAAAUGAUACGGCUCAACCGUAUGUCCAUUAUUUGAACUGCUAAGCUUGAGUAUGAGAGAGGUAGAUGGAAUUUCUAGUGUAGGAGUGAAAUCCGUAGAUAUUAGAAGGAACACCGAUGGCGUAGGCAGGCUACUGGCUCAUUACUGACACUAAGGCACGAAAGCGUGGGGAGCGAACGGGAUUAGAUACCCCGGUAGUCCACGCCGUAAACUAUGGAUGCUAGCUGUUAGAAGUAUCGACCCUUCUAGUAGCGAAGCUAACGCGUUAAGCAUCCCGCCUGUGGAGUACGAGCGCAAGCUUAAAACAUAAAGGAAUUGACGGGGACCCGCACAAGCGGUGGAGCGUGUUGUUUAAUUCGAUGGUAAGCGAAGAACCUUACCCAGGCUUGACAUCCUUGGAAGGUCUCCGAAAGGAGACUGUGCCUUUUGGAACCAAGUGACAGGUGUUGCAUGGCCGUCGUCAGCUCGUGUCGUGAGAUGUUUGGUUAAGUCCAUCAACGAGCGCAACCCUUGUAGUUAGUUGAAUUUCUCUGGCUAGACUGCCCCGGUAACGGGGAGGAAGGAGGGGAUGAUGUCAGGUCAGUAUUACCCUUAUGUCUGGGGCUACAAACACACUACAAUGGCCGGUACAAAGGGCAGCCAACCCGCGAGGGGGAGCAAAUCCCAUCAAAGCCGGUCUCAGUUCGGAUUGCAGGCUGAAACUCGCCUGCAUGAAGCUGGAAUCGCUAGUAACGGUAGGUCAGCAAACUACCGUGAAUACGUUCCCGGGCCUUGUACACACCGC
rnacentral:rRNA from 1 species